CACCGGCUACUCCGUGCCAGCAGCCGCGGUAAUACGGAGGGUGCGAGCGUUAAUCGGAAUUACUGGGCGUAAAGAGUGCGUAGGUGGUUGAAUAAGUUAUCUGUGAAAUCCCUGGGCUUAACCUGGGAGGGUCAGAUAAUACUGCUCAACUCGAGUAUGGGAGAGGGUAGUGGAAUUUCCGGUGUAGCGGUGAAAUGCGUAGAGAUCGGAAGGAACACCAGUGGCGAAGGCGGCUACCUGGCUCGAUACUGACACUGAGGCACGAAAGCGUGGGGAGCAAACAGGAUUAGAUACCCUGGUAGUCCACGCUGUAAACGAUGUCA
rnacentral:rRNA from 1 species